rnacentral:rRNA from 1 species
GAUUGCCCUAGUAACGGCGAGUGAAGCGGCAACAGCUCAAAUUUGAAAUCUGGCUCCUGUCGGGGUCCGAGUUGUAAUUUGUAGAGGAUGCUUCGGGUGCGGCACCGGUCUAAGUCCCUUGGAACAGGGCGUCAUAGAGGGUGAGGAUCCCGUAUGUGACCGGUGACCAAGUCCAUGUGAAGCUCCUUCGACGAGUCGAGUUGUUUGGGAAUGCAGCUCAAAAUGGGUGGUAAAUUUCAUCUAAAGCUAAAUACCGGCCAGAGACCGAUAGCGCACAAGUAGAGUGAUCGAAAGAUGAAAAGCACUUUGGAAAGAGAGUCAAAAAGUACGUGAAAUUGUUGAAAGGGAAGCGCUUGCGACCAGACCUGCCGCCGGGUGCUCAGCGGGCAUUCUUGCCCGUGUACUCACCCGCGAUCAGGCCAGCAUCGGUUUUGGCGGCCGGAUAAAGACUCGAGGAAUGUAGCUUCGCUUCGGGGAAGUGUUAUAGCCUCCUGUGCAAUACGGCCAGCCGGGACCGAGGACCGCGCUUCGGCUAGGAUGCUGGCGUAAUGGUUGCAAGCGACCCGUCUUGAAACACGGACCAAGGAGUCUAACAUCUAUGCGAGUGUUUGGGUGUCAAACCCAUGCGCGUAAUGAAAGUGAACGGAGGUGGGAACCCUUAAGGGCGCACCAUCGACCGAUCCGGAAGUUUACGGAUGGAUUUGAGUAUGAGCAUAGCUGUUGGGACCCGAAAGAUGGUGAACUAUGCCUGAAUAGGGUGAAGCCAGAGGAAACUCUGGUGGAGGCUCGCAGCGGUUCUGACGUGCAAAUCGAUCGUCAAAUUUGGGUAUAGGCGCGAAAGACUAAUCGAACCAUCUAGUAGCUGGUUCCUGCCGAAGUUUCCCUCAGGAUAGCAGUAACGUUUUCAGUUUUAUGAGGUAAAGCGAAUGAUUAGAGGCCUUGAGGAUGAUACAUCCUUGUAAGUACCGCCACUUUGCAGUCCAUAGUUCCUUUUGACAGUAUGCUAACUUGGAAAACAGAACAUAUUCUCAACUUUCAUAUGUAAGAAGUCCUUGUUACUUAGUUGAACGUGGACAUUGAAUGUACCGUUACUAGUGGGCCAUUUUGGUAGCAGAACUGCGAUGCGGGAUGANCNGAACGUGGGUUAAGGUGCCGGAAUGUACGCUCAUCAGACACCACAAAUGUUGAGACGUAUCCUGGCAUCUGAGGGCAGUCCGUGUACUNCAAAUUGUGGUGUCAUUUUGCCCCCUGAGCNUGCGAGCUCUGGGGUUCAGUNUAUCAAGGCAANGUCUUUACCNNUAGGGGCCCGCGGUCGCUCUCUGACCGCCUAUCCUCCGNUGNCCNUUCCCUGGGGGCAGCUNACAGAUCAAGCAAAGGCCGGCGGCAGCAAGCCGUUGGAGAUAUGAUCGGCCCCUGGAGGUCCACUCCAGGGAUCCAGUGCAAAAGGUGUUGAUUCAUCUAGACAGCCGGACGGUGGCCAUGGAAGUCGGAAUCCGCUAAGGAGNGUGUAAUAUGUUGCACACUACAGUUUUNNNACUAGCNUGNGUNUUNGGGGCGCAAGUGACAGNUCUUGUANGCUUGGAUGCUUCUUCCCCCUGGGGGGGCGGUUGCAANUGGCAGNGGGGUAGGAAAUCGACCUCAUUUACAGNCUACGCGGANCUGACUGNGAGGNUCCGNUGGAUCCCUUGCAGGGAAGAUAUAGUCGUNGCGGGCCCCGCAAGNGGNUNUAAGCAAGAACAACUCACCGGCCGAAUGAAUCAGCCC